rnacentral:lncRNA from 1 species
CCCCCCACCACCACCAGCCGAACCCCCUAGCGAACUUACACCACCACCGAACGAACGAACCCCCUUAAAGUUGGACACCAAAAAUAAGAAACAGCACGAAGGAGAGAAGAGAGAGAGAAAACCAAAAAAGUCAGCACAAGAGUCGGUUCGUUUCUUUUCUUUUUUAGUAUCGUCACCGGUUACAUCGAGUGCUGAAGUUUGUGCGUGCGUGAGAGUGGUUAACAUUGCGGAGAUGAGCGUGGGCAGCGAGCAGAACACAACCGAAGCGUAUUAUUAACCAUUCGGGAAAUUUUCUUUCGAAAAGGAGCGCCACACGCUUCUCGUGAAAAAUACACACGACGACCUCACUGUGUGUGUGUAUGAGAGAGAGAAGGUAAUGUUAUUACUAUACUACGAAGAGAGAGGUCUAACUAAGGUGUGCCAUGAGAGCACAGGGCGCCCCUUCUCUCUCUCUCUCUUCUCUUUCGAGUUUUUAACGUCUUCCGUGAAUGGACCGGCCAUUCAUUCAACAGUUGAGGUGUGUGAGGAGUUGCGCAGAUCUGGUCUGGGACUCGUUCCAUCAAAAGCCUCGUCCCGGCGUCGUCCCAGCGUCGUUGUGUUUUUUUUUCCCCUCCGACAGUGUUGGAGGGAGACAAAUUUAAUUUCGGGAAUUUGAAUCGUUUGUGGUUGUGAGUGCGUGUAACGUUGAUGAACUACAAUGAUUUGAAAAUGUGUUCUCGUUGUGGAAUCUCCAAUGGAACGGAAAAUGGAUUAAAGUCGUCGACACGCUCCGAAAUCAACGGAUCGGCGCUGUUGGAGUCGAGUCGCCCGACUUGCUGUAAACCACUUCCUCCCAUCCGCCCGAGUCGAGAUGGAUGAAGGCGGAUCGCUGAGCAGGAGAAGAUGUGGACGACGUCGAGGAGGAGAACGCCGCGACGGCGGGUGCGCCAGUCGCACUGGCGGAAGAGUCUUCAGAAUGGCCAAUCACCCGCUCCGGAUGGGCCAGCAGUUGUUCCGUUUCGGCCAGAAGAAAAGCUGUUGUGUGUGGUUUGACGAGUCGAAAAAAAAAACCGAACCAACUCCUCCCGAAAAAAAUAAGAAGCUGAUGGCGGACGCCGCCUCGUCAUCCGCGUCUACCGAUCCCGCAACCCGCGCGUCCCAGGACUUUCCGUCCCAAUUUGAGAAUUAAACAAAACAAAUUUUCUCAGAAAAGUGACGUCGGGAGAUUUGGUGAUGUUGAUCAAAUAAAAGAAGAAGAA